UUUGCAGGCAGGCUGGAGAGCUCGUCCUACUCUGUAAGCACAAACGGACGUCAUGGUGUAGCUGAUGCUUGGUGGGCGGUGUUGCUAUUGUGGUAGGUCUUAGUAACUACAAUGAUAAUCUGUCUUGAUUGGUUGAAGCAGUUAUGAAAUGUGUCAGGUCAGGAAUGAAGCAGCACUAAAUGAUUGCUCCAAUGCUUUCAGGGUAGCGGAUUUGAGGAAUGGCUAGGGUAAACCUAACAUGAUAGGAAUAUCAACCUCUGGGCGCCUGCGUU
rnacentral:SRP_RNA from 1 species